rnacentral:rRNA from 1 species
AUUGAACGCUGGCGGCAGGCCUAACACAUGCAAGUCGAACGAGUGGCGGACGGGUGAGUAAUGUCUGGGAAACUGCCUGAUGGAGGGGGAUAACUACGGGAAACGGUAGCAAAUACCGCAUACCAUCAGAUGUGCGCAGAUGGGAUUAGCUAGUUGGUGGGGUAACGGCUCACCAAGGCGACGAUCCCUAGCGGGUCUGCGAGGAUGACGGGCAAAACGGGAACUGAGAAACGGUCCAAACUCCUAGGGGAGGAAGCAGGGGGGAAUAUUGCGCAAUGGGCGCAAGCCUGAUGCAGCCAUGCCGCGUGUAUGAAGAAGGCCUUCGGGUUUUAAAGUACUUUCAGCGGGGAGGCGUUACCCGCAGAAGAAGCACCGGCUAACUCCGUGCCAGCAGCCGCGGUAAUAC